AUUGAACGCUGGCGGCAUGCUUUACACAUGCAAGUCGAACGGUAACAGCACUUCGGUGGCUGACGAGUGGCGAACGGGUGAGUAAUACAUCGGAACGUGCCUAGUGGUGGGGGAUAAAUACUCGAAAGAGUAGCUAAUACCGCAUGAGAUCUAAGGAUGAAAGCAGGGGACCUUCGGGCCUUGCGCUACUAGAGCGGCUGAUGGCAGAUUAGGUAGUUGGUGGGAUAAAAGCUUACCAAGCCGACGAUCUGUAGCUGGUCUGAGAGGACGACCAGCCACACUGGAACUGAGACACGGCCCAGACUCCUACGGGAGGCAGCAGUGGGGAAUUUUGGACAAUGGGCGCAAGCCUGAUCCAGCAAUGCCGCGUGCAGGAUGAAGGCCUUCGGGUUGUAAACUGCUUUUGUACGGAACGAAAAGCCCUCUGCUAAUACAGGAGGGUCAUGACGGUACCGUAAGAAUAAGCACCGGCUAACUACGUG
rnacentral:rRNA from 1 species